rnacentral:rRNA from 1 species
ACAGCAGUCGCCACGGUAAUACGGAAGGUCCGGGCGUUAUCCGGAUUUAUUGGGUUUAAAGGGAGCGUAGGCCGUGGAUUAAGCGUGUUGUGAAAUGCAGGUGCUCAACGUCUGCACUGCAGCGCGAACUGGUCCACUAGAGUGUGCGCAACGCAGGCGGAAUUCGUCGUGUAGCGGUGAAAUGCUUAGAUAUGACGAAGAACUCCGAUUGCGAAGGCAGCUUGCGGGAGCACAACUGACGCUGAAGCUCGAAAGUGCGGGUAUCGAACAGGAUUAGAGACCCGCGUAGUCCCUGUCUCUUAUAC